rnacentral:rRNA from 1 species
UACGGAGGGUGCAAGCGUUGUUCGGAAUCACUGGGCGUAAAGCGCGUGUAGGCGGUCCGUUAAGUCAGGUGUGAAAUCCCCCGGCUCAACCGGGGAAUUGCGCCUGAAACUGGCGGACUCGAGUGUCGGAGAGGGAAGGGGAACUCCCGGUGUAGAGGUGAAAUUCGUAGAUAUCGGGAAGAACACCGGUGGCGAAGGCGCCUUCCUGGACGAUAACUGACGCUGAGACGCGAAAGCGUGGGGAGCAAACAGG